UAUUCUUAACGCUAUUGUGAUGGAUCAUUUCCAACACUACAAAAAGUUAGGGCAAAUAAAUUUUCUCCCUUUCAUCUCAUUCCCUUCUUCCGCUGCGUGAGAGGACCAACAUCGCCUCAUCUUUCUAUCAGUGACAAGCUACUCCGGCGCCGGCCUUUAGGUAAGGAUUUUGGUGAUUUCCCCAAUUUGAAUCCGCACAGAUGUUCGGGUUCUCAAAGCCCCAUUCAAUCUGCGGAUUUGUGAAAUCCGCCUGAAAGAAGAUUGUCUUACGAGUGCAUUUCUGUGAUUGUAAAGGACAAUUAUGUAAGUGGGUUUGUAGUUUUUCAAUUUCUUCUUAAUCUAUCGUGUUCUUGGUUGUUUGAGAAGCAAUAGAUUAGGAGAAUUAAGGAUUUUCUAAACCCAGCUCUAUAAAUAUUUAUAUAUAUAUAUACAUAAAGAUCGAUGUUUUACUAGUAUGGUAGUGAAUAAGAGUGGGUGUUUAUUGCUUCUAGUUUUUGUCCUCAUUACUUGUUGCGAAAAAAUAUAGAAAAAAAAAGAAAUUGAAAAUCAUUGAUACCCAAACUUAUGGCGAAGUCAAGGUUGUGUCAAAUAUUUUUAUCUAGUGCAUCUUCGAAAUACCUUUUCAUUAAAAUGAAUUUGGGAUAUACAUAGAGACUGAUGUCUUAGGCUUAUUCCCAUACCGACUUUAGAUUUGAAAUUGUUUUGUUGUGGUUACCUCAAUAUAUUUUCGGAUAGGGAUAAUAGUUGCUAGUAUGUUUUCAAUAGGUUAAAUUAUGGUGUGAUUGCCCUUUUAUAAGUUAUAUGGUUCUAAUUCAAUUCCAAAAGUGAGAAUGCAUAUUGUGACUUAGUGCAUGUUUAUAGUGUUGUUGUAGUUAAUAUAGAUAUCACAUUUUGGGUGUUGCUUAAAUUAAAGAUGGCCACAAAAAUAUGAGUGGGGACAAACAUCACAAGAUUUCAAUUAUUCAAAGUAUUGAAGAUCAGGGAAGUAAUUUGUAGAUUAUAUUCGAUAAGGUAGGUGAUUGAUAGAUGGAUGGAUGUUGAUGAGUUUGAAUGUGAAUAUAUAUAUAUGUACAAAUAUUAAUUAGAUGAUGAUGAAAAGUUAUAAUUAAUCGUCUGCGGAUAUAUUUAAAAAUAGACAUUGAGGUUGAGAAAUGAUUAUUUAUUUAUUUAUGCAAUAUCUUGGUGGUCUCCAUCGCCGGCACUCCAAAGUCUCUCUUUUCCUCCAAUGCUUUCUCUUUAAAGAAACUUGUUGGUCUUUGAGAUCCUUCUAUAUCUUCUAAUACUUUCAUCAAACUUAACUUGUCUGUUAUUGUUGAUGUAAUUUUUCAACAAUAAAAAGUAAAAUCCAAAAAUAGAAAUUAUCUUCGAAUUUGAUAAAAUAAAUGCCUGAGAUUAAGAAUCUCUAGACACUGUAGGAUACAUAGAUAAACUAGGGAAAUAAAAACUACAGACUGAAAAAGUAAAGUGGUGAUCCCCAAAAGCAAUUCUCUUGAAUUUGAUGUCGAUUGAAGAUGGUUUCUUAGGUCCCGAACAGACCUAUUUAAAACCCAUAUCAACUGCCACUACCGAGUCGUGUUUUCGUAUCCGCUUAUCGGUUGAAAGUUCCUUCAACCGCCCGAAAACUGCUUUUUCACCCGACCUGCACACCUGCUGCUCCGUCUCCUCUUAUCUGUCUUCCACUUGUGUGACCUCAUUUCACCCGACCUAUAUAACGCCCGACCUUAUCAGGUUUGUCCUUCGCGUCCGACCUUAUCACGCCCGAUCUCUGCACCCGAACUCAUCAUGUCUGACCUCUGUGCCCGACCUGAUCACGCCCAACCUCAAUCCCCGACCUUAUCACAUCCGACUUUCACGCCCAACCUUAUCACAUCCGUUCUUAAUGCCCGACCUUAUCACGCCUGAUCUCCAUACCCGACCUGAUCACAUCCGACCUUAGUGCCCGACCUUAUCACGCCCGACCUCCGAGUCCGACGUGAUCACGUCCGACCUUAGUGCCCAACCUUAUCAAGUCCGAUCUCAACGCCCGACCUUAUCACAUCCGACCUUCGCGCCCGACCUUAAUGCCCAACCUUAUCACGCCUAAGCUCCAGGCCCUACCUUAUCAUGCCCGAUCUCUGACCUCCAAGGAAGCCCUUUCCUUAACCGCAUUCGCACUUAUUUUCGGACUCCUUUUUUUUUUAAGAUCCUAUUAUUAUUAACAGGCCCAUUAAAUUCUGUAUCAAUCCUUAACCUAAUUUGAUAGGCCCAUUCUUAAAAACCCUACCCAUUGUUUUUUGUACUCAACAAAUUGCCUCCUCCCGCCCAACUCCUAAACGUCACUUCUUGAACUGCGUGAGAUGCGACGUUUAGGGGUUUGUAACACAGUACUAUCAUUACACUGUGUUAUGUCACAUCGCAGGGUUUAUGAAAAACCCUUCACUUACCCAGCCAUAUUCACGCUUUCAAAAUCCUGAAAUUCUUCUCCCUUUCCAGCGAUCAAUUUCCAAAAAUACCCUGCUUCUUCAUCCUUUGCAACUCCUUCUCAAAUGGCUAACCAAUACAUCCCUGCUCUUUCUUUUGAUGGGGCUGACCCAUCGGUGCCUUCCGUGGCUUCGAGGGUCCUUACCCCUACCAUUUGCCCUUACUAUAUUACAAAUGAAAAUGCUGAUCGUAUGAGAUCCGUCAUCUCUCAGAUUUCUCCGAUAAUCAUCAAUGAUGUCGCAUUCAAACCUGAACGUCUCUUGGAAAACAUCAGAACUCACCUUACUGAUCCAAAAGAUGCGUAUCGCAAAUGGCACGCGAGACUGCUCCCACAUUUUGAGGAACAAUGGAAAAGGCAAGGCAUUGACAAAGCUAUCUUCCUCUCCGCUCAGCCCCUUCACCUAUAGUAGGUGAUGAUCCCGUUCUGGUCUCCUUUGAGGGUCACGAGCCUUCGCCUAAUCACGCUGGUUGGGCCCUUGCCAAACUCCCUGAGAAAGAAAGAGGCUGGACCAGCUUUGUCAACAAAUAUCUGGGUAAGGAAGGUACCCCUGUGUCUGAAUUGAAGCAUACAAACAUUCCUCCUUUUUGGUUGUGCAGGUACAUUCUCCUCAUUCGUAAUCUUCUAUGUAAAUUCAAAGGUGAAUGUCUUGGUUAAAUUUUUUCUCUCUUUACAGAUACAUCAUUCUCUCCCUUUCCAAACUCGUCAUUUCUUCCCAGGUCGACCUAGCCAUCCAACUGGCCAGCGGCCAAUUUUUCUCAUAAGGAACCCUUUUUUUGGCUAACAUUUUUAAGGGGUUAGCUCGAGUGAGCAUCCACCUGACUGAUACCAAAAAGGCGGAUACAGCCGCUUCGGGACCGUUUUGGUUCUUGGAAUUGUGGCUCCGUCUUUACUUCCCCACUGCUUUCUUUGGCCGACUUCCUAUCGCCCCAAACCCUUACAGGUCCAUAGGUUAUGCCUUGGCCAGAUUAACUCCUAAUUCCUCUUAUCUUUAUCCAUCCGACCCUGUCAUCACCCAAAUCUUGACUGAAGACCGUAGCAAUUCCCGCUUCUAUGUCUACGAAACCCUUAUACAAUAUUCGACUAAUCUCUUUUGGCUUCACCCUGACACAUCUUAUUCCGAGACUUAUCCCGAUCCUCUUCCUCAUCUGACCUAUCCCUUUUCUUGGGACUCCGCCAUGAAACCCCGAUCUCUAUUUUCUAGUAAGAGGUCCGACAAGAAAAACCACAGAUUAUUUUACACUUUUAAUUAUCAGCCCCAAUUUCUGGCCCGACAGUUCGGUUGCUGCCAGGGCAUACCGGGACCGCUAGCCCGGCAUCACCUUAUAUCCCAAAGCCCAGAAGGGCUGGUAAUUCCCGAGCUUAUCCCGACCUACCUUUCCCAAGUCACCGACUAUAUCACCUCUAACUUGUAUUUGCCUUUCUGUUUGAAACCUUCUGCGGCCGAGGCGUUUCCUGCCUGGUGGUCGGCCACCUGGCCUGUGAUUGCUCCUCCGACUGACCAAUUGGUUGGGAAACUUGCCCCACCCCCAGUCUUGGCGCUGGGUUCACCUCGAUCGGCUGCUUUUCCGAGAAGAAAAAGGCAGGCGCCUGCUGUAGGCGGAUCCGGAGCAAAGAAACAAAAAUAGAAGGCCGCCCCUGCAAUUGAUAGGCGGGUCAUUGAGGAGUACCUAGCAUCUCUGCCAGUGGAUACCAGCGGGAUGCCAAAAUACCUGAGAAAACAAUUCGAGGACCCUUCAUUGCCGCCAACCACUGCCCCACCUAUCUCUCACCCGACUGAGCAUCAACUGAUCAUGUCUCAACCGACUGCAGCGCAAUCACCCAUCAAUCUGAUUUCUUCUCAUUCAACCGUAGUCCCGACCACACACCAAUCGAGUAUGGUGCCGGCCGGAAACCAACCGACCGCGGUCCCGACCACAAACCAACCGACUGCCAAUCAACCGUCAGAUGCACCAAUGACUCGAGCCGAACAAAGAUCUUCUUAACCCGUCGGUCUUCUAGAAAACCUCCCAACCGCUGGUAAACCGACCAUCGCACAACCGACCUCCCUGCAAGCUGAUGUACACUGGCCGGAGGAAUGGCGGGGAGGCAAAUUUCUCCUACAAUUUUGCCUCCACCUGCUCUCCUACCACCACAGGGGACUGCCGUGGUCCCAGCGAUGCCCGACCAACCCGUCGCCUUCCCCGACUAGAUUGCGGAACCAUCACAGGAACCUGAUGCAAUUGCGGUGAUGUCCGAACCUAGGUCGCAGAAUUACCCGACCCAGUCGUGGCACCACCCGACCAAGCUGCCGCCGAGCUACCCUUACAACCAGUCGCUCAGCCUGUUGGUGAGGUUCCUCCUAUUGCUCCUCAACUAGACCAACUGAUCCCACCGCCUCACGACAUAGAUGAGAUUUCCUCCUCGAAGCCGGGCGAGGCUUCAGUCAAUUUUGCCCCAAGGGGUUCGGGGAUGGAGCUGGCCGUCGCUCACCGUCUUUAACCAGGAGACGAGUCGGUUGCUGGCCCGACUAUUUGCCAUGGUGCCUCCACGAUGUUCCGACUCAUGUCUCCUCCUGAAGCCACUACUGCCUUAAAUCAGGCUACCCAAGAGAUGAACGUUUUGGCCCGAGUGAACCUUCCGACUUCUGCCAUAUCCAUAAUAGAGCGCUGUGCUGACCUAUCCUUCGCCGACCUGAAUCUAGCCGACCUCGAUGCUUUAGUUUAGGUUGCGAUAGAUUUUUUGGUGCAGCCUUCAUUAGAGUCGGAAGCUCCUCCCGUCCUUGAUCGGAUGAUGGCAAGAAUCACCGAGCUUCGAGCCGAACUGCCUUUGAUCCGACCUCCAUCAUCCGAGGCCACGUCAUCUCAACCGACCACUGAUCCAACUAGUCUUGAGACAAACUUGAAGAAGGUCAAUCAAGACUUUAAUCUUGCCAAGGCUAUGCUGGAAGAACUCCGAAAAGCGCGACACAUGCUGGCAGCUGAGAUCUCUCAAAAAUAGAAGAACUCAAACGCCUCCAAGAUCAACUGGAGUCCCUGGAUGACAGCAUCCAGGAAUGAAGUCGCUUGGUGGAGGCACAUUGCCAAACCCAGAUGAAUCUCUGCGAGCAACUCGAACCAACCAUACGAAUGCGACUUGUCCGGGGACACGAAGAAGCCUACCAGCGUCGGCGGGCCACAAAGUCGGAACUAAAGUGGACCGAUCUCCAAACUGCCCUUAGGGCCCUGCUUUCUUCUGUAGCCCUGAUAUAAUUUGUAUAGAGUUCCAGACUUAAUCUAUACAUCCUAUUUUCAGAACAAAGAUCCUAUAUUCUUUGCGUUUUUACUGAAUCAGACAUCAAAACAAAGAUCCAUAUUUUUUGCACAUUUAACAAACCACAAAUUAGACACCACAACACCUAUAUAAACUUCAUACCUCUCACUGUAAAUAUCAUCAGCACCCCCCACAUCAUCACUCAAAAUGGUUUCUCCUCGCAUCUGCGUCCCUUCGUCCAACUGGCAAGGUUCUUUGCAACCAUUCCUAGUAGGAAAACACCCCAUAGGUCAUCACGCUGAAGACCUGAUACAGGUGCUAAAACAACUAGACUUUAAAUUUAGGUUCUCCGGCAGAGGCGGGAGAACCAUAUAUCGUACGAUCCGACUGAUGGAACGUAUAUCCACUGGCUACGAACCCCUUACUGAUAUACUCACUUGCAUAUUUGACCUUGAUCAUCAUCUGGACAUGAUAGAUCAUCAUGUAU